AUUUCUUGUAUUUACUUUAUUCGAUUGGCCCAACUGUGACUGACUCACCUGGGGAGCCUCUCUGUUUGUGCGUUAGUUUUAUCCAUCAACUCCCAGAGAUUAACCCGUUCGGGGCCACCGAUAAGGCGUCGUCAUGUCCACGCAGCAUGCGGAGAACGAGGAGAUUCCAGCGCAGAAGUCCAAGCGACCUUCAGAUUCGGCCUUCAAACAGCAACGCCUGCCCGCCUGGCAGCCCGUACUCACCGCUCGCACAGUCCUGCCCACGUUCUUUGUGAUCGGAGUGCUCUUCAUACCCAUCGGAGUCGUCCUGCUGCACCUGUCGAAUACGGCCAAUGAGCAUAUCAUCGACUACACCUGGUGCGGAAACGGAAACGUCAACUGUUCUGAUUAUUUGGAGAAGAACCCGGGUGGCCAGUGUAACUGCGCGAUAAACUUUACCCUUCCCAAGGAUUUCAAUGGCGUGGUGUACAUGUACUAUGGCCUGACCAACUACUACCAGAACCAUCGGCGUUAUGUGAAGUCGCGCGACGACGAGCAGCUGCUGGGCCACCUAUCGCAGACGCCCAGCUCGGACUGCACACCCUUUGCCAUCGAUCCGGACACCAAUAAGCCGAUUGCUCCCUGUGGCGCCAUUGCCAACUCGCUGUUCAAUGACUCGCUUUCUUUGUCGCAUGCUGGCUCUGACAUCAAGCUGCUCAAGACGGGCAUUGCGUGGCCUUCAGAUAAGCGGGUAAAAUUCCGCAAUCCGGAGGGCAACCUUAACGUUUCCCUCCAGGACUUUGCAAAGCCCUUGUUCUGGCAGAAAGGCCUGGCCGAUCUGGAUCCCGAGAAUCCGGAGAACAAUGGAUUCCAAAAUGAGGAUCUGAUUGUAUGGAUGCGAACCGCCGCUUUGCCGAGCUUUAGGAAGCUCUAUCGUCGGCUGGACCAAACGGAAGCCACCUAUGCCAAGGGUCUCAAGGCCGGUGAUUAUACGCUGAACGUCAAGUAUCAAUAUCCGGUUGUCUCGUUUGAUGGCACCAAGCGCAUGAUCCUGUCCACUACCUCUGUGCUAGGUGGCAAGAAUCCUUUUCUGGGUAUCGCCUACAUUGUGGUUGGCGCCAUUUGCAUCACGUUGGGCCUGGCCCUGCUCUUUAUUCAUGUGCGCUGCAGUCGUAGUAGAACCGUGAGCCUUGGGCCACCGAACAAAAGGUCUGGGAAAAAGUGGUCAGGAAGAAAAAGCCCAGAAGCCACCAUCACCUAACCGAAGUCCCACACCCACUCCCACCAUCAUCAUCAUCAUAUCUCAUGGCCAAAUAAAGCUAUUGCCGCAGCAACAUGGAGAUGAUCAACGUGAAUCCCCACACGCAGUACUCUUAGGCCCGGCAGAGCAUUCCUGGCGGCUGCUUCACACAUACAUAUAUAGCUUUAGUAGAAUCCAUCUGUUUAAGCCCUAUCAGCAUAAAGUAGCCCCUAUUGACCAACUCUCGCACCCUGUGUUCUUCUCGACCCUGCUCGGCGCCGUAUGUUAUCCCCAGGAGCUGGCUGUGCCCCCCACUGUUAAUCCCCAUUUCUGUUGUCCGCGUGUGCACCAAGUACAGGACUUGUGAUUAUUUUUUUUGUUACUAACUUAUAACUCGUAUCCUUGCGCAUGACACCACAGGGAAGAGCCGUACACGAACUUCCACCAUCGCUAGACAAACUGACAAACAGGUAAUGAGUCACUUUGUGCCGUUUGCCCGAUAUAUUACUAUGUUUAUACGCGCUAAUAAACCUUUUGUAAUGACAA